AUGGGCGAAAGCCUGAUGCAGCAACGCCGCGUGAGGGAUGACGGCCUUCGGGUUGUAAACCUCUUUUAGCAGGGAAGAAGCGAAAGUGACGGUACCUGCAGAAAAAGCGCCGGCUAACUACGUGCCAGCAGCCGCGGUAAUACGUAGGGCGCAAGCGUUAUCCGGAAUUAUUGGGCGUAAAGAGCUCGUAGGCGGUUUGUCGCGUCUGCUGUGAAAUCCCGAGGCUCAACCUCGGGCCUGCAGUGGGUACGGGCAGACUAGAGUGCGGUAGGGGAGAUUGGAAUUCCUGGUGUAGCGGUGGAAUGCGCAGAUAUCAGGAGGAACACCGAUGGCGAAGGCAGAUCUCUGGGCCGUAACUGACGCUGAGGAGCGAAAGGGUGGGGAGCAAACAGGCUUAGAUACCCUGGUAGUCCACCCCGUAAACGUUGGGAACUAGUUGUGGGGUCCAUUCCACGGAUUCCGUGACGCAGCUAACGCAUUAAGUUCCCCGCCUGGGGAGUACGGCCGCAAGGCUAAAACUCAAAGGAAUUGACGGGG
rnacentral:rRNA from 1 species